GAGUCUCCACCCUCCUCAUAUUGGCUUUGUCAUCUCCUCAUUAUAAGAUAGCCAUGGGAGCACCAACUUUGUAAUGCAGCACCAAACUGUCUGCCUUAAAGACAAGGAAGGAAAAGUGGUGAUGGCUUAUCUUGGAUUGGAUUCACCUCAAUACAGGCCCUGAGACAAGGACACAAACAAAGAUAGUUUGUGAAGAAACUGGUGGAAUAGUGGGAAAGUGAGACAGGAAAUGGGGGGGGGGGGCUGGCUAAUCAGUAAAGGAUUCAUUAUUAAGCCCCUUUACUCGUUAGGGUUACUGAAGCUGGUCCCACUGGGAAGCUCCUAACCAGUAUAAAACAUGUGCCUUAAAAUCAUCCUACCUGAAGGACAAAAGCUGGAUAUUUACAUCUCCUUUUAGUCAUUGAUUGAGUGUUCCUAUCGGAUUCGUUAACCACUGAGCCACAAUGGGAACUCUUAAGGUUUUUUUUUUUUAAUGGCUGUACCCACUGUACCAGGCUAGGGUUCGAACCCACACCUCCUCAGCAACCUGAGCUGCUGCAUUUGGAUUCUUAAUCCCCUGUGCCACAGCGGGAACUCCAAAAUAAUGUUUAUUACCACAAAAUCUGUGGUAAUUUGUUGCAGCAGAAAUAGAAGAUUAACAUAAAUUGCAUGCAGAUCUAGGGAACAGCAUAUGGAAAACCUCCAAGACACAAGAUUCCUUGGCUGUUUCUAGGAACAGAAAUAAAGCCAGUAUGACUAGAACAUGGUUGGAGGAGAAGGCCUGUGCCAAACAGCAGAACACCACCAAUCUUGCUAAGGUUUUGGCCUAGAUCCCAAAAGCAACAGAAUGCUUUUAAGUGUGGGAGCAGCACAAUUAGAUUGUAUUUUAAAGUACUUUGACUAGUCUGUAGAGAAUAGAUUGAAGGUAGGGACAACUGAGGUUAUUUAUAUUUAUCCAGAAAGAUGAUGAUAGCUUGGAAUAGGGUAAUUGGAAAGAAAUGGAGGAGAGAGUCCAUCCUAAGAAUACUUUCGAAGUAGAAAAAAAAAAAAAACACAGGACUUAGUUGAUGGGUAUGCAGAGAAAAGAUGGUUUUAGAGCUGUGAUUUGCACAACUGGGUAAAUGGUGGUACCAUUCACCAAUAUAGGGAUCAUUUAAAGGAGGACUAGAGAGAAAUGUAGUCAGUAGUGACAAGUACUAAUUUAGAAGUGCUCCACUUGCGGUACCUGAGAGGUAACCAAAGAGUUGUUGAUUAGGCAGUUGUUUAAAGCUCAGAAGAAAGUUCUGGACUGGAAAUGUUAAUAUGACAAUAAUUUUUAGUAUGCUAGCUCUUUGCCUUAUAGGGAAAAGAUAACUGCUAAACGUUUAGCAUUACAAGUUCCAGACAUAAAGGAGGAGGAAAGAACCAGUUCCUUCAACUGUCCUCUUAUCAGAAAAAGCAAAAACUUUCCAGAAACCCCUACAGCUAACUUUAUAUUUGGUCUCAUUACCCAAAACUCUUACAUGGCCUCCUCCAAGAAGCCUUAAGCCUCAGAAAGAAAUCCUGUAUUUCACUUUACAGCCUCUAAGGUAGAAGCACUAGCUAGCAGUGAGUAUUGAGUUUAUUUACAGUAGUUACUGUAAGUGGUAAAUGAAGCCAUGAGAUCGCAUAGGGAGAGGGAAUACAAUGAAGAGAAAAAGACCAAAGAGAGCCUCAAGGAACCCUUAACCUAAAAUUUGAAUUGAGGAGGAGAGGUUACCCCAGAGUUUAAAAAAUACGAUGAGAGAAGGAGGAGGGAUUUGGGUACCAUUUAAGUCAAGGAAAUAGAACUUAAAAAGGAUGAAAAAUAUACUUGUUGAGUGCUAAGAGGUCAACUAAAUUGAGGUCUAUCCAAUAUUCAUUAGAUUUAGUACAUGGAGGUCAUGAAGGAGGAAUUGGGGACACUGAAGCCUCAUUGCAGUAGAGAGAAAAGCAUUUAUAAUAGAAAUGUUUAAAGUAGAAAACAGUUUUUUGGAAUUCCCGUCAUGGCACAGUGGUUAACGAAUCUAACUAGGAACCAUGAGGUUUCAGGUUCGAUCCCUGGCCUUGCUCAGUGGGUUAAGGAUCUGCCAUUGCUGUGAGCUGUGGUGUGGGCUGCAGACGCAGCUCGGAUCCUGCGUUGCUGUGGCUCUGGUGUAGGCCGGUGGCUACAGCUCCAAUUGGACCCCUAGCCUGGGAACCUCCAUAUGCCACGGGAGCAGCUGAAGAAAAGGCAAAAAGACAAAAAAAAAAAA
rnacentral:lncRNA from 1 species